UGGAUCCAGACUUUGAUUCUGGCUCAGGACGAACGCUGGCGGCGUGCUUAACACAUGCAAGUCGAACGAGAAUCUACUGAAAGAGUUUUCGGACAAUGGAAGUAGAGGAAAGUGGCGGACGGGUGAGUAACGCGUGAGGAACCUGCCUUGAAGAGGGGGACAACAGUUGGAAACGACUGCUAAUACCGCAUGACGCAUAGAGGUCGCAUGAUCUUUAUGCCAAAGAUUUAUCGCUUCAAGAUGGCCUCGCGUCUGAUUAGCUGGUUGGCGGGGUAACGGCCCACCAAGGCGACGAUCAGUAGCCGGACUGAGAGGUUGAACGGCCACAUUGGGACUGAGAUACGGCCCAGACUCCUACGGGAGGCAGCAGUGGGGAAUAUUGGGCAAUGGGCGCAAGCCUGACCCAGCAACGCCGCGUGAAGGAAGAAGGCUUUCGGGUUGUAAACUUCUUUUAAGAGGGAAGAGCAGAAGACGGUACCUCUAGAAUAAGCCACGGCUAACUACGUGCCAGCAGCCGCGGUAAUACGUAGGUGGCAAGCGUUGUCCGGAUUUGCUGGGUGUAAAGGGCGUGCAGCCGGGUCUGCAAGUCAGAUGUGAAAUCCAUGGGCUCAACCCAUGAACUGCAUUUGAAACUGUAGAUCUUGAGUGUCGGAGGGGCAAUCGGAAUUCCUAGUGUAGCGGUGAAAUGCGUAGAUAUUAGGAGGAACACCAGUGGCGAAGGCGGAUUGCUGGACGAUAACUGACGGUGAGGCGCGAAAGUGUGGGGAGCAAACAGGAUUAGAUACCCUGGUAGUCCACACUGUAAACGAUGAAUACUAGGUGUGCGGGGACUGACCCCCUGCGUGCCGCAGUAAACACAAUAAGUAUUCCACCUGGGGAGUACGAUCGCAAGGUUGCAACUCAAAUGAAUUGACGGA
rnacentral:rRNA from 1 species